GAGUUAGGGUGCCCUCCAAGGCGCCCGACCUCCCAACCCUUUGUCUAAUUUACCUUGUCGUUGCUUCGGCGGACCGGUUGACCAACUGGUCGUGACCGCCGGGGGGUGAAACCCCCCUGGAGAGCGUCCGCCGACGGCCCAACCACAAACUCUUGUACCAAACCAUGUCGUCUGAAUUACUUGAUUAAAAUCAAAAACAAAACUUUCAACAACGGAUCUCUUGGUUCU
rnacentral:misc_RNA from 1 species